AGCUAAUGAUGAAGACUAUAUAUUUGCUACUCUUGAUUGCCUAUGUGAUGACUAACCACCGAGAUCUCUGAAGCU